rnacentral:rRNA from 1 species
CCUACGGGAGGCUGCAGUGGGGAAUAUUGGACAAUGGGGGGAACCCUGAUCCAGCCAUGCCGCGUGUGUGAAGAAGGCCCUCGGGUUGUAAAGCACUUUCAGUGAGGAAGAACGCCUGGUGGUUAAUACCCAUCAGGAAAGACAUCACUCACAGAAGAAGCACCGGCUAACUCCGUGCCAGCAGCCGCGGUAAUACGGAGGGUGCGAGCGUUAAUCGGAAUUACUGGGCGUAAAGCGCGCGUAGGUGGCUUGAUAAGCCGGUUGUGAAAGCCCCGGGCUCAACCUGGGAACGGCAUCCGGAACUGUCAAGCUAGAGGGCAGGAGAGGAAGGUAGAAUUCCCGGUGUAGCGGUGAAAUGCGUAGAGAUCGGGAGGAAUACCAGUGGCGAAGGCGGCCUUCUGGACUGACACUGACACUGAGGUGCGAAAGCGUGGGUAGCAAACAGGAUUAGAUACCCUAGUAGUC